rnacentral:rRNA from 1 species
UAAGUGCUGAAAGCAUCUAAGCACGAAACUUGCCCCGAGAUGAGUUCUCCCUGAGACUUUAAGUCUCCUGAAGGAACGUUGAAGACGACGACGUUGAUAGGCCGGGUGUGUAAGCGCAGCGAUGCGUUGAGCUAACCGGUACUAAUGAACCGUGAGGCUUAACCUUACAACGCCGAAG